GUGGCGAACGGGUGAGUAACACGUGGGCAAUCUGCCCUGCACUCUGGGACAAGCCCUGGAAACGGGGUCUAAUACCGGAUACUGAUCCUCGCAGGCAUCUGCGAGGUUCGAAAGCUCCGGCGGUGCAGGAUGAGCCCGCGGCCUAUCAGCUAGUUGGUGAGGUAACGGCUCACCAAGGCGACGACGGGUAGCCGGCCUGAGAGGGCGACCGGCCACACUGGGACUGAGACACGGCCCAGACUCCUACGGGAGGCAGCAGUGGGGAAUAUUGCACAAUGGGCGAAAGCCUGAUGCAGCGACGCCGCGUGAGGGAUGACGGCCUUCGGGUUGUAAACCUCUUUCAGCAGGGAAGAAGCGAAAGUGACGGUACCUGCAGAAGAAGCGCCGGCUAACUACGUGCCAGCAGCCGCGGUAAUACGUAGGGCGCAAGCGUUGUCCGGAAUUAUUGGGCGUAAAGAGCUCGUAGGCGGCUUGUCACGU
rnacentral:rRNA from 1 species